GAGGAAUCGAAGAGAAAGGAAAUCGCUGGAUUUUGGAGGCUUUAUGAUUUAUCAGCUUAUUCUAUGGAAUUAAGCCCUGGGCAUCAUGCUAUUUGUCAGGGGCCUGGUUCUAGCGAAGAUAUGUGUUUAUCUUUCACUAUGAGAUCCCAAGAGUCUCCCGAAAUAUUCUGGGCCUCAGAACUGGUUUCUCUGGGUGGCAGAGUAUCAGAACACAGGGCAGAAGGAACCUGUUCCUCAGAGAUCCAAUCGACAUCUCCCUUAAGCCUUUUGCUGCCCUCCACGAACCCAUCCUUUUGUGCUGCCAGCUCCAUGUCCCCAUUCCGGGGGAGGCCAGAAUGACACAUCUACAUGUCACCCCGUAGUCUACAAUGUCGGGAAGGAGCUGUGUCCCUGCUGGAAUUGAAAAACAUCCUUGAGGGCUGCAACUUUUACAGGGAAAGUUACCAUGCCAACGACAGCCUCCUUGCCUGACAGGGAUGAAAGGAAACAAGGCUGUGGGUGACAUGCAUCUAUUGUGUGUCCACAAACUUGCCUGGAAUCUAUCAGGGACUGCGGACUGCUGCUCAGCAGGAUGGAACAGGAGGAUUCAGGUUAGAUUUCAGUGGGACUCCGGGAUGGGCAGGACUGAUGAGGGCAGGGCAGGGCCAGCAAGCGAGGAUUGGGAAAUGCUUCUCUGAGAUUGAUACCCAUCUCUUGGUGAAAUGUGUGGGUGUGGUACUGACAGCAGGCGUGGGAGGGGACGGUGUCCUAGAUACCAGUUUCUGGCUGUGAUGGGAACCUCGACUUCCCCCAGGUUCUUUCUGCCUUCACAGGAUGGUCUAGGAGGUUACCUAUGCUCUGGGUUAGAUAGAAGAGGGCAUGGCAGGUCACUGGGGCAGUGGGGCCACAGGCAUGCCUAUGGAGAAGGCCCAGUCUUGGCGAGGAGGCCCCAAGAUGCCUAAGGAGGAGCGUCUCCUUCAAGGGGCAGGGCUUCCAGGGAGAAUGGCCCCCACUCCCGAACAGGGAAAGGGCACAGAGGACUGAGGAGCUGGCACUGCCGAAGCACCUACGCCACGUCAGGCACUUGACACAGCCCCCAUUUCAUUUAAUUAUCUCCACAAACCUGCACAGCAGGAACUCUCACUCCCAUUUCACGGAGGAGAUGAGGACACAGGCUCAGGAGAAGGUGAGUACCCGUCCCAGCAUCACCCGGCUGGCAAGGGGAGACGCUGGGGCUGGAACCUCGCUGUCUGAACUGGAAAGGAAAACUCCACAUUCAGGGUGCCCUAUUUUCUUCUGGAAAGAUCUCUCCCGAAGCCGUCCGCUCCUCAUUCUGCCCUUCGUACAGGCUUCCCGGGCCUGAGACGGCUGGGAAGAGGCUAAAGGGGCACGACCAGCCGGCGUCUGGGAAACCGCUCCUGCAGCCUGCAACUGCGAGGGCCCGGGGCCGCCACGCGGGCCCCCCGGCAGCCUCUCGUUUCACCCCAGCCUCCGGAGAGGGCCCGAGGCUCAGAGACGAAGGCACUGCACCCAAGGCCACAGAUCGUGCAUGGCUUUGCUGGAAUUCCCACCGGGCCCGCAGGCGUCGAGGCCGCGUAGAACCCCGGAG
rnacentral:lncRNA from 1 species